UACGGGGGGAGCAAGCGUUGUUCGGAUUUACUGGGCGUAAAGGGCGCGUAGGCGGUCAGCACAAGUCAAUUGUGAAAUCUCCGAGCUUAACUCGGAAAGGUCAACUGAAACUGUGCGACUAGAGUGCGGAAGGGGCAACUGGAAUUCUUGGUGUAGCGGUGAAAUGCGUAGAUAUCAAGAGGAGCACCUGCGGCGAAGGCGGGUUGCUGGGCCGACACUGACGCUGAAGCGCGAAAGCCAGGGGAGCGAACGGG
rnacentral:rRNA from 1 species